rnacentral:rRNA from 1 species
GGGGGACGCAGUAGGAUAGGCGAAGCGUGCGAUUGGAUUGCACGUCUAAGCAGUAAGGCUGAGUAUUAGGCAAAUCCGGUACUCGUUAAGGCUGAGCUGUGAUGGGGAGAAGACAUUGUGUCUUCGAGUCGUUGAUUUCACACUGCCGAGAAAAGCCUCUAGAUAGAAAAUAGGUGCCCGUACCGCAAACCGACACAGGUAGUCAAGAUGAGAAUUCUAAGGUGAGCGAGCGAACUCUCGUUAAGGAACUCGGCAAAAUGACCCCGUAACUUCGGGAGAAGGGGUGCUCUUUAGGGUUAACGCCCAGAAGAGCCGCAGUGAAUAGGCCCAAGCGACUGUUUAUCAAAAACACAGGUCUCUGCUAAACCGUAAGGUGAUGUAUAGGGGCUGACGCCUGCCCGGUGCUGGAAGGUUAAGAGGAGUGGUUAGCUUCUGCGAAGCUACGAAUCGAAGCCCCAGUAAACGGCGGCCGUAACUAUAACGGUCCUAAGGUAGCGAAAUUCCUUGUCGGGUAAGUUCCGACCCGCACGAAAGGCGUAACGAUUUGGGCACUGUCUCAACGAGAGACUCGGUGAAAUCAUAGUACCUGUGAAGAUGCAGGUUACCCGCGCCAGGACGGAAAGACCCCGUGGAGCUUUACUGUAGCCUGAUAUUGAAAUUCGGCACAGCUUGUACAGGAUAGGUAGGAGCCUUUGAAACGUGAGCGCUAGCUUACGUGGAGGCGCUGGUGGGAUACUACCCUAGCUGUGUUGGCUUUCUAACCCGCACCACUUAUCGUGGUGGGAGACAGUGUCAGGCGGGCAGUUUGACUGGGGCGGUCGCCUCCUAAAAGGUAACGGAGGCGCUCAAAGGUUCCCUCAGAAUGGUUGGAAAUCAUUCAUAGAGUGUAAAGGCAUAAGGGAGCUUGACUGCGAGACCUACAAGUCGAGCAGGGUCGAAAGACGGACUUAGUGAUCCGGUGGUUCCGCAUGGAAGGGCCAUCGCUCAACGGAUAAAAGCUACCCCGGGGAUAACAGGCUUAUCUCCCCCAAGAGUUCACAUCGACGGGGAGGUUUGGCACCUCGAUGUCGGCUCAUCGCAUCCUGGGGCUGUAGUCGGUCCCAAGGGUUGGGCUGUUCGCCCAUUAAAGCGGUACGCGAGCUGGGUUCAGAACGUCGUGAGACAGUUCGGUCCCUAUCCGUCGUGGGCGUAGGAAAUUUGAGAGGAGCUGUCCUUAGUACGAGAGGACCGGGAUGGACAUACCUCUGGUGUACCAGUUGUCGUGCCAACGGCAUAGCUGGGUAGCUAUGUGUGGACGGGAUAAGUGCUGAAAGCAUCUAAGCAUGAAGCCCCCCUCAAGAUGAGAUUUCCCAACUUCGGUUAUAAGAUCCCUCAAAGAUGAUGAGGUUAAUAGGUUCGAGGUGGAAGCAUGGUGACAUGUGGAGCUGACGAAUACUAAUCGAUCGAAGACUUAAUCAA